CUGAUGUUGAACGCUUGUUCACUAAAGCUUCGGGAGUGGAAACCAGAAAAAAUACCUGUCAGGCAAAGCUGAAAUCUGCUCAAAGCGGCGGAUUCUUCGCUGCUUUGUGUGUGUUUGGGAAGUGGAAGAGCUCAAAAAGACUUGCAUUAUCUUGUAUAAUUGAAUAUGAGCAAUUUGGAUGGAAUUAAUAUUAAUCUUUUCCUGUGGCAGGGUUCCCUGCGAGGCUGUGCAGCCUGGGGGGGGGGCACAGUGGGGAGAGCGAGCCAGGAUCCUCUUCACAUAAAAAAACCCAGCAGUGCUUUGCAGGGUUUGACUUGAGAGCCACUCCAGAGCCCGGGCCUCUUUUGGGAAGCAGGAACAGAGCAGAACUUUGCACCAGCCUCCAGAUCUGGUUCCAGUUUUGGAUUUCCCUCUAAGCUGAUGACAUUUGCACACAGGCAGUUAAUUCCCGGUGAGAGUGUUAACAGUUUGGAGCGAGGCAAACUUUCAAGCCGGGUUCUCCCAAGUGUUUUCAUUCGCUUCCAGCCCGACUGAGAACAACUUCCAGCUGCAUGACAGCAAAACAGCGUGUGUGUAAUAAGGAACCGAGGGAGUCGGUGCAGGGUUCUUUUAAUUAGCACCAACCCGUCGCUGUGCACAUAAUACAAAGUAAAGGAUUUGUGUGCGAGGGAAGUGGAGAGGAGAUGAGCGGCCUCUGGGCUUGUUACACUCCUCAGUUCAGCACCGUUACCUCCUGUAUCUUCAGGUAACUAAUUUUCCAGUUUUCGCUGCAUGGUCAGAAGCACAUUAUGAGGAAAUUUAGAAUUCACAAGUCUCCCUCCAUCAAAAUUAAAGCACGGAUUCAUUUUAAAUGAGAGACUGUCUCAUGUUUAUUUUAUUUUAUUUUUAACCUUGGGCAGAUGUUAUUCAAAUUUGUACACGACCUACCCUAAAGCCGCCGAUGAUACAUUCACGAUUUUAAUCUGUGAUUUGAUUUAGAGGUACAAAGAGCAAAACAUUAUGAAUGAAUGCAACUCGAAACUAAUCGGCUUUGUGUAAAUUUUCUUCAUCCAUUGUAGAGGCAAUGUGUUUAUGCAUCAAACGCUG